rnacentral:rRNA from 1 species
CUGUGAGCUCGAUGAGUAGGGCGGGACACGUGGUAUCCUGUCUGAAUAUGGGGGGACCAUCCUCCAAGGCUAAAUACUCCUGACUGACCGAUAGUGAACCAGUACCGUGAGGGAAAGGCGAAAAGAACCCCGGCGAGGGGAGUGAAAAAGAACCUGAAACCGUGUACGUACAAGCAGUGGGAGCCUCUUAAUGGGGUGACUGCGUACCUUUUGUAUAAUGGGUCAGCGACUUAUAUUCUGUAGCAAGGUUAACCGAAUAGGGGAGCCGAAGGGAAACCGAGUCUUAACUGGGCGUUAAGUUGCAGGGUAUAGACCCGAAACCCGGUGAUCUAGCCAUGGGCAGGUUGAAGGUUGGGUAACACUAACUGGAGGACCGAACCGACUAAUGUUGAAAAAUUAGCGGAUGACUUGUGGCUGGGGGUGAAAGGCCAAUCAAACCGGGAGAUAGCUGGUUCUCCCCGAAAGCUAUUUAGGUAGCGCCUCGUGAAUUCAUCUCCGGGGGUAGAGCACUGUUUCGGCAAGGGGGUCAUCCCGACUUACCAACCCGAUGCAAACUGCGAAUACCGGAGAAUGUUAUCACGGGAGACACACGGCGGGUGCUAACGUCCGUCGUGAAGAGGGAAACAACCCAGACCGCCAGCUAAGGUCCCAAAGUCAUGGUUAAGUGGGAAACGAUGUGGGAAGGCCCAGACAGCCAGGAUGUUGGCUUAGAAGCAGCCAUCAUUUAAAGAAAGCGUAAUAGCUCACUGGUCGAGUCGGCCUGCGCGGAAGAUGUAACGGGGCUAAACCAUGCACCGAAGCUGCGGCAGCGACACUAUGUGUUGUUGGGUAGGGGAGCGUUCUGUAAGCCUGUGAAGGUGUACUGUGAGGUAUGCUGGAGGUAUCAGAAGUGCGAAUGCUGACAUAAGUAACGAUAAAGCGGGUGAAAAGCCCGCUCGCCGGAAGACCAAGGGUUCCUGUCCAACGUUAAUCGGGGCAGGGUGAGUCGACCCCUAAGGCGAGGCCGAAAGGCGUAGUCGAUGGGAAACAGGUUAAUAUUCCUGUACUUGGUGUUACUGCGAAGGGGGGACGGAGAAGGCUAUGUUGGCCGGGCGACGGUUGUCCCGGUUUAAGCGUGUAGGCUGGUUUUCCAGGCAAAUCCGGAAAAUCAAGGCUGAGGCGUGAUGACGAGGCACUACGGUGCUGAAGCAACAAAUGCCCUGCUUCCAGGAAAAGCCUCUAAGCAUCAGGUAACAUCAAAUCGUACCCCAAACCGACACAGGUGGUCAGGUAGAGAAUACCAAGGCGCUUGAGAGAACUCGGGUGAAGGAACUAGGCAAAAUGGUGCCGUAACUUCGGGAGAAGGCACGCUGAUAUGUAGGUGAAGUCCCUCGCGGAUGGAGCUGAAAUCAGUCGAAGAUACCAGCUGGCUGCAACUGUUUAUUAAAAACACAGCACUGUGCAAACACGAAAGUGGACGUAUACGGUGUGACGCCUGCCCGGUGCCGGAAGGUUAAUUGAUGGGGUUAGCGGUAACGCGAAGCUCUUGAUCGAAGCCCCGGUAAACGGCGGCCGUAACUAUAACGGUCCUAAGGUAGCGAAAUUCCUUGUCGGGUAAGUUCCGACCUGCACGAAUGGCGUAAUGAUGGCCAGGCUGUCUCCACCCGAGACUCAGUGAAAUUGAACUCGCUGUGAAGAUGCAGUGUACCCGCGGCAAGACGGAAAGACCCCGUGAACCUUUACUAUAGCUUGACACUGAACAUUGAGCCUUGAUGUGUAGGAUAGGUGGGAGGCUUUGAAGUGUGGACGCCAGUCUGCAUGGAGCCGGCCUUGAAAUACCACCCUUUAAUGUUUGAUGUUCUAACGUUGGCCCCUGAUCGGGGUUGCGGACAGUGUCUGGUGGGUAGUUUGACUGGGGCGGUCUCCUCCUAAAGAGUAACGGAGGAGCACGAAGGUUGGCUAAUCCUGGUCGGACAUCAGGAGGUUAGUGCAAUGGCAUAAGCCAGCUUGACUGCGAGCGUGACGGCGCGAGCAGGUGCGAAAGCAGGUCAUAGUGAUCCGGUGGUUCUGAAUGGAAGGGCCAUCGCUCAACGGAUAAAAGGUACUCCGGGGAUAACAGGCUGAUACCGCCCAAGAGUUCAUAUCGACGGCGGUGUUUGGCACCUCGAUGUCGGCUCAUCACAUCCUGGGGCUGAAGUAGGUCCCAAGGGUAUGGCUGUUCGCCAUUUAAAGUGGUACGCGAGCUGGGUUUAGAACGUCGUGAGACAGUUCGGUCCCUAUCUGCCGUGGGCGCUGGAGAACUGAGGGGGGCUGCUCCUAGUACGAGAGGACCGGAGUGGACGCAUCACUGGUGUUCGGGUUGUCAUGCCAAUGGCACUGCCCGGUAGCUAAAUGCGGAAGAGAUAAGUGCUGAAAGCAUCUAAGCACGAAACUUGCCCCGAGAUGAGUUCUCCCUGACUCCUUGAGAGUCCUGAAGGAACGUUGAAGACGACGACGUUGAUAGGCCGGGUGUGUAAGCGCAGCGAUGCGUUGAGCUAACCGGUACUAAUGAACCGUGAGGCUUAACCUU